ACCAAACAUUUUUAGGUUGAAAUACAACAGUUAUGAACAAUAUCACUAUUUUUGGUCAAGUGGAUGGGGACUUACACCGAACCGUUCGAUUUCUUCAAGAAAGAAAUGUUAAUGUUGUUAUUCGCGAUGAGCGUGACCUUAAUACUAUUCGCAUUCAUGAGGCAAAGGCAAAGGAAAAAGACAAGGCAAUAUCAAAGGAAACAAAAAAAACUAUUC